GAUUAAGUUAUUAAGGGCGCACGGUGGAUGCCUUGGCACUAGAAGCCGACGAAGGACGUUACUAACGACGAUAUGCUUUGGGGAGCUGUAAGUAAGCUUUGAUCCAGA
rnacentral:rRNA from 1 species